GUGUACCUUGUGUACUCUUGCUAGCUUACUGAGAUGCAACGUGAUGCAACAAAUACUGUCUAUGGAUGCAACAUUGUGGAUUUCCUGCAGCGGUUAAGACUGGACACAUUCAGCAAACAUGGAACAUCUGCAAGGUUUUCUGUGUCAGAUCCCAAAGCCUUUCUGGGCAGCGGAACAAAACCCCAUCUUCCCUUUCACUGGCUGGAGCAAAGCACAGCCAACACAGCAGCAGGAUUUGGCCCGCAUCGGCUUCAAGGAGAAUGGUUGGAAAGGACUGGAAAGAGCAGGUGGAGUUCUUUGGCAAGUGUGUUUUGCUGGUAUGCAUGUGAGUGUGUGUGUGCAUGUGGCAAGGGUCACACUAAUAGAAACUUGUCAGAUUUCCAGCAGAUAUUUGAUAUGCAUUCAAAUGGCAGCAACUUGGAAGGUAACAUGAUGCCAUUUGAGCCGCUGCUGAUAAUGCAUCUAUUUUUGGGUAAAGCCCCAUAAUGAAAGACAGCAUGAUGCUCUAGAUACUUUGACUGACAACAUUAGUUUGCAAAAGGAGUCACGUGUGGGGGCAGCCCAUAAAAAUAGAGAUG